rnacentral:rRNA from 1 species
AUUGAACGCUGGCGGCAGGCCUAACACAUGCAAGUCGAACGAGUGGCGGACGGGUGAGUAAUGUCUGGGAAACUGCCAGAUGGAGGGGGAUAACUACUGGAAACGGUAGAUAAUACCGCAUACCAUCGGAUGUGCCCAGAUGGGAUUGGCUAGUAGGUGGGGUAACGGGUCACCUAGGCGACGAUCCCUAGCUGGUCUGAGAGGAUGACCGGCCACAGUGGAACGGAGACACGGGCCAGACUCCUACGGGAGGCAGCAGUGGGGAAUAUUGCAAAAUGGGCGAAAGCCUGAUGCAGCCAGGCCGCGUGUAUGAAGAAGGCCUUCGGGUUGUACAGUAGUUUCAGCGAGGAGGCGUUACUCGCAGAAGAAGCGCCGGCUAACUCCGUGCCAGCAGCCGCGGUAAUAC